rnacentral:rRNA from 1 species
GUGAACCUUUACUAUAGCUUGACACUGAACAUUGAGCCUUGAUGUGUAGGAUAGGUGGGAGGCUUUGAAGUGUGGACGCCAGUCUGCAUGGAGCCGACCUUGAAAUACCACCCUUUAAUGUUUGAUGUUCUAACGUGGACCCGUAAUCCGGGUUGCGGACAGUGUCUGGUGGGUAGUUUGACUGGGGCGGUCUCCUCCUAAAGAGUAACGGAGGAGCACGAAGGUUGGCUAAUCCUGGUCGGACAUCAGGAGGUUAGUGCAAUGGCAUAAGCCAGCUUGACUGCGAGCGUGACGGCGCGAGCAGGUGCGAAAGCAGGUCAUAGUGAUCCGGUGGUUCUGAAUGGAAGGGCCAUCGCUCAACGGAUAAAAGGUACUCCGGGGAUAACAGGCUGAUACCGCCCAAGAGUUCAUAUCGACGGCGGUGUUUGGCACCUCGAUGUCGGCUCAUCACAUCCUGGGGCUGAAGUAGGUCCCAAGGGUAUGGCUGUUCGCCAUUUAAAGUGGUACGCGAGCUGGGUUUAGAACGUCGUGAGACAGUUCGGUCCCUAUCUGCCGUGGGCGCUGGAGAACUGAGGGGGGCUGCUCCUAGUACGAGAGGACCGGAGUGGACGCAUCACUGGUGUUCGGGUUGUCAUGCCAAUGGCACUGCCCGGUAGCUAAAUGCGGAAGAGAUAAGUGCUGAAAGCAUCUAAGCACGAAACUUGCCCCGAGAUGAGUUCUCCCUGAGACUUAG